rnacentral:lncRNA from 1 species
UUAUAGCCUAAUAUUGGUAGCUUAGUGGGCUUUUGAGAGAGGUCCAAGUCUGAGAUUUUUUCUUUUAUUUAUUUAUUAUUAUUUUUAUUUUUAUUUUUAUUUUUUUUAUUUAUUUUUUAUUAUUUUUUUCGUUUUAUUUUUUCGUUUUAUUUUUUUAUUUUCUUUUUUUCGUUUCUUUUUUUCGUUUUUUUUUAAUUUAAAAUAAAGUUUCUUGGAUCUAAUUCUGAUUGACAUGAUGAAAUGCAAUGUAUCUAAUGUUAAAUGACCUAAAAA